UACGUAGGGUGCAAGCGUUAUCCGGAAUUAUUGGGCGUAAAGAGCUCGUAGGCGGUUUGUCGCGUCUGCUGUGAAAACUGGAGGCUCAACCUCCAGCCUGCAGUGGGUACGGGCAGACUAGAGUGCGGUAGGGGAGAUUGGAAUUCCUGGUGUAGCGGUGGAAUGCGCAGAUAUCUGGAGGAACACCGGUGGCGAAGGCGGCAUCCUGGACCAAUUCUGGACGCUGAGGAGCGAAAGCCAGGGGGAGCAAAACGGGG
rnacentral:rRNA from 1 species